rnacentral:tRNA from 2 species
GGGCCUGUAGCUCAGUUGGUUAGAGCAGUAGACUCAUAAUCUAUUGGUCGGAGGUUCGAGUCCUCCCGGGCCCA